rnacentral:lncRNA from 1 species
CAGGGAUUCCCGUCCUCUCGGGUCCCGCUGCCCCGCCCCGACUGCGGACGGAGUGGAUGGGGUGCACCGCCUCAGACCCGCUUCCUGGGGUCGCGAACUUCCCGGGCCCCAAGGUCCCUGCCACCUCUUCCAAAUGCUGGAGGACUACGCACUUCUACAAAAUGUUCAUCUAUAAUUGUUCAUCAGACCAGGCUAAAUAAGGAUAAUGGCACAAAAGAAAAAUAAGACCCAAAUGGAGACAUCAACCACAGACACCUGGCAAAAAAUCUUCUGCUAAAACCUGAUUUUGUGACAAAAUGCUGCCUUAUCUUGCUGAUGAUUUCAUGGACAAUAAAAGGAAAGAAGAUGAAGAAGAACAUUCUAAGGUCCCUAACCUUUGCACUUUGCUGCUCCGAUUGAAUGUCAAAGUCGACAAGUGUCAAUAAUGGAAUUUGAAUGCUUGUUGGUUUGUCUGUGCAACAGCAGUUCUAUCAAUGCUCAGAACGUCUUGGUCUUCCUUUAUUUUUUCUUUCAAUACAUGUUCAUCUAGAUUUGACCUUCCAAAUUGGACUUUUAAAAAAUCACUUAUUUGGCCAGGCGCAAUGGCUCACACCUGUAAUCCAAGC